AUCAUGAAUAAAUAUUGAUAAUAGUAAAUUACAUUAGUACCUUCGGCUUGACAGAAAGGUACGAAAUCAAAUACGACGUGCGAGUGAAUACAAAUCCGCGUGAACAGUACUGUGGUACUAUUCAUCUAUUUAUUAGCACGGGACGCAGCCCAGACGAAAUUACAUUUGUGUCCUUGAUAACUAAUGAUAACCAAAACACAAAUUAUCAUGGACUAAACGAUCUUUUACUCUUUAAGUCGGUGCUGCCCUUCGUCUCAAGGCGUCGUCAUACCGAAGCUCCCUGGAUUGUAGCUUUGGCUUAUACCUUCGUAUUGUGUUUGCUCGCAUAUCACCCUGCCGAAGGUGUUUCUGCUUGGAGGAUCUUCGGCGAAGAAGGCCCGCAACAACAACAUAUAUAAUAACAGAGUGUAUAGAGAUAAAUGUCACAAUAACAUCAGAGUAUUUAUUACAUAGUAGAAGUCUUAUUACAAAAUAAAAGAUAAAUAUAAAACGAACUAAGGAUCAUCCUUGGCGCAAGUCAUCUGAGAAACGCCACCUAGAUCCGAUCAAACUCCUCGCUUUGUGGCUCCUCCUAAACCACCCGUUCUUCUCCUGUGGGGGGUGUGAGACAGCAAGGGUGAGCUCACACAUGAUCAUAGCUCAACAAGUUUUGAGGAAACCAGUGGGCAUGAACUCACCAAAGGUGGGAGUCCAUGUGAUGUGUAAGGCUAAUCAACAAUAGGGGUUAAAGCUGAGCAUUGCUUUUAUUUAGUUGGUCAAAGUUUUAAUUGCAGUUACUAAAUGUAAGUAAAUACCAAACCUUAAUAAAAAUAAUAGAACAAAAUUAAUACAUAAUCCCAUGCAAUGCAAAUGACAAAUUGAAUUUAAGUUCCAUAAAUUAAUCAUGCGAGAGUCCUGAGCUGCUCAUGACCGUGAGCUCGGCUAGUAUACCAGUUUUACACUCUGAAGAGGUUGUACCGUGUACCCACAAGUCAUGUUACCCAUCUGCCACGGGGUUCUACGGGCCCCAUACACCUCUACCAAGGAAGCAAGGCAGGGUAACACUACGAAGCCUUUACAAAGUUCCACUAGCUUCCGAAAACCCGCUACAGUUUAUGGGAAGAGCACUUGCAAGAAUCCCCGACUGACCGCCAUCGUAGCAAAAUCAACCCGAGAACCUCCUUGCAUGCAACUCCCCUACUGCCCUUGCCCCUUUCGGGUAAGAUAGUCUUCCACUAUCUUUCCUAAUUAGUCAGCCAAGGGCAUCCCAUACUACCCUUGUGGUGGCACGUGUUUCUCAAGUUAAGCUCCAUGUUCCAAUUAACAUUAAUGAUCUUGACAUGAACAUAAAUAGAAUAACAAAAUAACUGGAACAUGAAUAUAUAUCCCAAAACCAUGUAAAGCAAUAGCAAAACUACCCAAGUGAUUUAGGGAUAACAAGGUAAUAUGGAUAAACAGACUAAGGUGACCUAUUGGGUCCCAUCAAAAUUAAACCUAUGCAUGAAUAAUGACAUUAAAGAACAUUAUUGGGUAUAAAAGUGGUCAAGGGCACAGCUUGCCUUCAAUGAGCUCUUGCUCAGCUACUUCUAUCUGCUGGUCACUAGGAUCCUCAGUCACAGUCUCCUCUACUCGCCACAAUACAAACAAGCACAGUAUAUAGAGAAAAUUAACAUCACACCAAACAUGUAAACAAAAUACAUAAUAAUAAUCUACACAUUAAAAUAAAAUCCUAGGAACAGGAAUCAUAUUUUUUGGAGUUAUAGAUUUUAAGAUAUGAAUUUCCAAAGGUUUUACAUGCUUAAAAUAGGAUUAAAUGGGAAAUUAAUUUCCUUAUUGUUUUCAUGUCAAAACAGAGACUCUAAGUGACAAAGAAUAAUAUUACAAAAUUUUAGAAACUGGAAUGGGUUAAUUUGGAGUUCAUAUAAAUUUUCUAUGAAUUAUACAAUUCCUAGCAUUUAUUUUCAUAUUAAAUACUUAAUUUCUAAUCCAUUUAUACAAUUUAAAUAGGCUCUGGACUGGACGCAUUAAAUCUGAGAAAGGCAGGGGCCUUGGUGUAAGACAUCCCAGACACAGAGCACAUGCGCUUAGGACGACGGGUUAGUUUUAAUAAAACAGAGGAUCUUAUGUGCAAAACUGCAGCGGCGAAGGGGUAUGCACGGUUCCUGGCCGCUAGAUCUAACGCCGAGGGUCUGGAUUAGAUCAGAAUUUAAACGAACCAGUAAGUAAAUCUAUACGUUGAAUCUGAGAUCAACGGCGGAUAUUCUAUGCACCCCAGACCUGUCUUACACUGUUCGAUCGAGAUCAACGGCGCAGACCGAAUGAGGCGAAGGGAUACGUGCCGCACUAAUCUGAACCGUUCAGAGGGGAAAUCUACGGCCCUGGUUUAAAAUGUCGUCCACUCAUCGCGUCCACACGAUCACGAUCCAGCGGCGCCUAUCAUUUAGCCAAACUGGUACCCUUGAUCUAAUCCUAUCCGUUCGCCACAGAUCAACGGACCAGGUCACGUCUCCUACCUCUGCCAAAAUCCACCACGGCGGCGAUUCUUCCUGCGGCCGCGCCCCUCACCGGUGAUAGCCAUCUGGUGAAUUGAAACCUAAUCCUAUGUUCCAAUACGCGCAGAUGGUACAAUGCGUCAAGGUGAAUACGUAUGAGCAUCACGUACCAGGAAUUGCAGAGUAGGGGUCCCAAGCACCGAUGAACUGCGGAAGCACGGCAGAUGAGCCCGACGGCGAGAAAUUCCCCCACAACCGAUCGCGAAUCUUCCACCGGGAUGCGUCGAGAAGGCACAACACCACAGUACGGACCUUCCCCCAAGGCUUUUCGGGGCCGGAGAUAGGUGUGGCACGAUUUUGAGGGCGGCGGCAAUGGUGUUUGGCGAAUGGCCCUCUCCCUCUACCCUAUCGGUAGCUGCACAGAAACGGCUCCAAUGCGGUGCAGACACUCGGAGCGCAGGGUGGAGUAAGGCGGCGGCCGAGUUUAUAGCCAGGCGCCCAAGACCCUGCAAGCGCAAAACUGGCGGAAGCUUCGCGCAAGAAGUGGUGAGGUCCGUUCACGCAGCGCCGUUUUCGUGGAGACGAUGACCGGUGGUCGAGGGACCCACACGUCAAGUGUACACAGAGCGAGCGCGUGAAGCUGCCAAGUGGGGGCUAGGCGUCGGCGCAGUUUUACGAGAGCUGGGUCGCGCGACAGACGUGAAGAGAGUGGGCCGAGCAGUCCGAAUUGGCCCAGUAUGUGGCUUCCCCAUUUUUUCUUUUUCUUUUAUACUUUCUUUCCCUUUUCUUUCUCUUUUCAAUUUCUAGAAUUCAAAUUUGAAUUCAAUUUUAAUCUGUGAACUUAUAUUCAUUUUUAAAUGUACAAGUUGAACCCAAAUAGGAAGGUUUAACUAAUUUCUUUAUAUUUAUUUUCUUUAUCUUUGUUUAGUAUUCUUUCUUCUCUUGCUCAAAUUCUUGAAUUCCCCUUUAGAGAAUUUGAUAUAUUUCCUUUCACAUUAUUUUAUGUUGUCACGAAAUGCACAAAAUAAAAUCCCAGUAUGAUGCAUGUAUAUUUUUUGGGUGUCUUUUGUCAUUUAUUUAUUUGUUAUAUGUGGUGUUCACAUGAAAUAACAAAUAUAGAUAACAACCAUAUAUAUAAAGGAAUAAAAUUUCUCUUUUUUAGACUUUUCUUACAAAGUGGGUAUUAUAGAAGAGGUAUCCUAGGAUCUAAUCAAAGUCGUCCACUAACGGAUCUACGGCGCAGUGACCAUCCCCUUCCCCCGGCUAAACGAGACGGCGGCGUCGCCCCGACCCCGAGGCGGAGGAUGGCCAGACCUAGGCGAACACGUGCCCAAAUGCUACCAGCCGAUGAAACCCGAGGCGUAUAGGUAAAACAAGGCGCGACGAAAUCAAUUACAUGUUUCUUACCCCGAAUUGGUGCUCGGGCGAUGCUGUCCAUGGAGUUAUGCGGAGUCGCGGCGGCGCGGCAACUACGAUGAGCAAUUCGCAGCGCCCUGGUCGAGGAUUCUCCGAAGCAAGGCUCCAGGUCUCCACGGCGUGCGAUGGCGGAUACCCGCAGUACUUCUUCGGCGGCCCGCCUCAACAGUUGACGACGGUCAAGUGCGACGCGGCGGUGGAUUUGCCCAGCAAGGGUGCAUGGCGUGGAUGGGAAGAAGGGGAAAGGAAAGAGGGGUUGACCGAG
rnacentral:lncRNA from 1 species